AAAACACAUAAUAGAGAGUGAAAAGCAAAUUUGGGCGGAAAUUGUAGCAGCAUAGCAUUGAUGGGUUUGGCGAGAUUUGGGCGUCCGAAGGGAGCAGCAGAAGGGCAGUUGAGCCCCAACCUGUUCGUCGCCAACUGUGGGCCCGCCGUGGGACUAUCCCACGACGCCAUUGCUUCGGCGUUUGGGGCCUUCGGUCAAGUCAAAGGCGUCUACGCCGCCGACGACACCGGUGCUCGUGUCGUUGUCUCCUUUGCUGAAGAGGCCUCUGCCCAGAACGCCUUGAAUGCGUUGCAUGGCCGCCCUUGUGCUCACCUCGGGGGUCGUACCUUGCACAUUCGCUAUUCUGUUCUUCAACCCACUUCACUGGGUCGAGUCAAUGACUCUGUGGAAGUAUCUUUACUGGAUUCUGAGUUGAAUAUUCCUGGCCUUUACUUAUUCCACGAUUUUGUCACGGCUGAAGAAGAGGAGGAGCUCCUUGCAGCAGUUGAUGAAAGGCCUUGGAAAAAUCUUGCAAAAAGAAGGGUUCAGCAUUAUGGCUAUGAAUUUUGUUAUGAGACGAGGAAUGUUGAUUCUAAGAAGAAUUUAGGUUCAUUUCCAGCAUUUGUUCCCCCUAUACUUGAAAGAAUAUCUAUGCUUCCGAAGCGCGAGGAUGUUGAAACUAUAGCUUUGGACCAAUUAACGGUUAAUGAGUAUCCACCUGGGGUGGGCUUGUCCCCACAUAUUGAUACUCAUUCUGCUUUUGAGGGAUUAAUUUUCAGCCUUUCGUUAGCAGGGCCUUGCAUCAUGGAGUUCAGAAGAUACUUUGAAGGUGACCGGCCACCUAGAACUUCCUCAAGUAUUGAUAUCGAAACAGAAAAUUCUGAAAACAAUUCAAAUUUCUUAAGGAGGGCUGUAUAUCUCCCCCCUCGGUCUUUGUUACUAUUAUCUGGAGAGGCACGCUAUGCUUGGCAUCACUACAUUCCACAUCAUAAGGUUGACAAGGUAAAAGACAGUGUGAUCAGAAGAGGCUCAAGGAGGGUGUCUUUCACAUUUCGUAAGCAUGGUAUCACAGACUAUGCUCCCAACUGCAAGGAGAAAAAUGGGCGACUUCUCUGUGUACUAGCCAUAUAUUUCAUUUUAUCUUGCUCGGAUCUUGUGUAGAUAUUGUCUCAUGAGUGUUUGAGUUAGAUUUUCAACAUGAUGAGAGUUGGACAUCUAGUCUCCAGCUUGAGGCGAAGUGUCGUUCAUGGAGGCUGGUUCAUUUAGCUUUAUAGUUGAUCAUGAGGAAUAAGUUUGAAUGAGGCCUGUUAGCUUGCAUUUUGGUUUUGGUGCAAAUGAUUCAAUUAGCUUAUUUCCAGGAUCGUAAAGAGAUCAGAUUUAUGUCUUCAAGUGGCGUCGGUAUCCCAGUCGUAUCUUUUUUUUGUCUCAUUGGGAUUAUUUCAAGUUUGAUUUUUAGAACAUUGGGAGUUUUCAAUAACUUUUCUCCAGCUUGAAAGGGAUUGUCAUUAAUAGAGGCUGAUUUAUUUAGGUACGUAGUUGAUCAUUAUGGGUGCCUAAAUUGAGAGAGAGAGAGAGUCAUUAAUAGAGGCUGAUUUAUUUAGGUACGUAGUUGAUCAUUAUGGGUGCCUAAAUAGAGAGAGAGAGAGAGAGAGAGAGAGAGAGAGUUUUCAAUCUUGUCUUUCAAUAUCUUUUCUCGAGCUUGAAAGGGAUUGUCAUUAAUUGAGGCUGAUUUAUUUAGGUACGUAGUUGAUCAUUAUGGGUGCCUAAAUUCAGACGGACGGACAGCUGAUUUAUUAUUUUUUUUUGAAAUUUUUUUUUUGAAAGAUGGGCUGGCGCGGCUGCCCUCAAGCCUUGAUUAAUGAAACUGUUGAAUACAAGGGGGGGACAUUGAGCCUAAACCCCUGAUCACAAUAAGCAUAGUGGUUAAUCAUUUUUUUGUGUGUUGGCUACAUUAUGAUAUGAUUGAGGUUUCAGUUACCCUACUUUCAGGGUAAUCUCUGGAGCAGAUUUAUUAGUGCGUCUCCUAUAUGAAACCAAAUGAUCCUAGACAUAUGUAAUUCAAAAGAUAAUACUAUGAUUAAAACUUCCUUCCAACACUACUCAUCCUAGAUUUUAUGGACUACUAUGAUAAUGUUCGGCAGUUUUGCAAUAACAGGAGGCACUAUUACACACAGUGGCACCUAUCUUUGCCAGUGUUUACAUGCAGUAGCAACCAACCCAUUGUACUAACUAGAAAUCUCAAAGUUAGCAUACAUAACUUAAAAGUUGUAUACAUCAAUCUUCUGUCUUUCUCUAGUUUUUUUGGUAAUAAAGAGGGCCUAUGUCCUUCUGAGAAGGACGAGAGUUCCACUCUCGUAUUGGGUAUGAGGCUAAAUUCCCUCUACCACUAGAUCUACUGCCAAACCUUUUCUGUGCCUGGUACACAGCAAGUUCUGCUAUGAGAUAAAGCAGUAGCUUGGUGUACAGAAACUAUUUCCUGGGCCAAGUGAUUCAUUGAGAUUAAGAUGACUGAAAAUGCUGCAAGAGUGGAUGAAUCUGUGGUUCUAGAGCUUCAACUGAAUUAUUUGCUUCUAUUGAGUACACUGAAAAGCAGCCGUCAGAACAACUCCUUGCCAAUGUGAAUUUCCACAAUACUGUGAUUCUCAGAGAUAAAAAGGGCAUGUUGAUUGGAGUUAUCGGUGCUUUUAAUCUCGUCAUCAUUAUUGGAGAUGGUUGGCGUGGAGAUAUUUCAUUAGGUGGAUUUCAUUCUUUGAUCUUCUAAGACAUGACUCGGCUGUUGAAGUUUUAGAGUUGGUUGCUCAGACCUUGUAGGGAGGAUUUUAGUGACUGAAAAGUCAUUUACCAACUUUAUUGGAUUAAACCGUGGUGGGUGAAAUGGCAAUCAAGUUACUUGCUGGUCUUCGGAGUAAAAUGCCAUUGGAAAUGGAAUGAAAUAUAGGUUUCUUAUUGAUAGAGAUGUGUGUAUCCUAUUUUGUAUGUUAUUUUGUUGUAGUUAGAACUUUGUAGUGGAGCCUCCAGAGUUUAGUAUUAUGAUCAAUAUUAUACAAGUAGUGAGAGGAGAAGAAAUAGUUUUGCCAAUAUAUGCAAUAUGAACAAAGUGAACAUAACUCGUUCUUGUAAAAGAUUUACCAGUGUUUUAAAGAAAAUUAGUCUUUCACUCAA